rnacentral:rRNA from 1 species
AGUGAACGCUGGCGGUAGGCCUAACACAUGCAAGUCGAACGGCAGCACAGUCAGAGCUUGCUCUUACGGAUGGCGAGUUGCGGACGUGUGAGGAAUACAUCGGAAUCUCCUUUUUCGUGGGGCAUAACGUAGGUAAACUUACACUAAUACCGCAUACGCGCUACGGGUGAAAGCAGGGGCUCUUCAGACCUUGCGCGAUGGAAUGAGCCGAUGUCGGAGUAGCUAGUUGGCGGGGUAAAGGCCCACCAAGUCGGCGAGCCGUAGCUGGUCCGAGAGGAUGACCAGCAACACGGGAGAGGAGACAAGGAGCAAAAGCCAACGGGAGGCACGAGUGCGGAAUAUAGGACAAGGGGCGGAAGCCUGAUCCAGCCAUACCGCGUGGGUGAAGAAGGCCUUCGGGGUGUAAAGCCCUUUUGUUGGGAAAGAAAAGCAGCAGGUUAAUACCCAGCUGUUCUGACGGUACCCAAAGAAUAAGCACCGGCUAACUUCGUG